rnacentral:lncRNA from 1 species
UUCUUAGGGGUAUAAGAAAAGAAAAGAAAAGAAUCGAUGUUGUAAUGUUAUGUUUAGAAAUCGAUUGUAUAUUUGGAAGUUGAGAAUCAAUGUAAUGAAAAAUGCGAGUAAAAUGAUGAGAUGAAUGAUUGUAAUAAUAUAGGAUGUGUUAUGUUGUUUGAUACCUUCCUUAUGCAAUCGUUGUUGAUAAUUGUUUCCUGUUUGGAACCUCUUGUAAUUGUAUUGAUUGCGACGUCUUGAACGUACAGGGGAGACUCUGUCCGCGUGCAGGGAAA